rnacentral:rRNA from 1 species
AUUGAACGCUGGCGGCAUGCUUUACACAUGCAAGUCGAACGGUAACAGGCCGCAAGGUGCUGACGAGUGGCGAACGGGUGAGUAAUGCAUCGGAACGUGCCCAGUCGUGGGGGAUAACGCAGCGAAAGCUGUGCUAAUACCGCAUACGAUCUAUGGAUGAAAGCGGGGGACCGUAAGGCCUCGUGCGAUUGGAGCGGCCGCUGUCAGAUUAGGUAGGUGGUGGGGUAAAGGCUCACCAAGCCAACGAUCUGUAGCUGGUCUGAGAGGACGACCAGCCAGACUGGGACUGAGACACGGCCCAGACUCCUACGGGAGGCAGCAGUGGGGAAUUUUGGACAAUGGGCGCAAGCCUGAUCCAGCAAUGCCGCGUGCAGGAAGAAGGCCUUCGGGUUGUAAACUGCUUUUGUACGGAACGAAACGGCUCGGGUUAAUACCCUGGGCUAAUGACGGUACCGUAAGAAUAAGCACCGGCUAACUACGUGCCAGCCGCCGCAGUAACAC